rnacentral:rRNA from 1 species
GACGAACGCUGACGGUGUGCUUUAGGCAUGCAAGUCGAACGAGAAAGCCCUUCGGGGUGAGUACAGUGGCGAACGGGUGAGUAACACGUGGGCAACCUGCCCCUCGCAGGGGGACAACCGGAGGAAACUCAGGCUAAUACCCCGUACGCUUCUCGGGCCGCAUGGUCUGUGAAGGACAGGUAGCUUCGGCCAACCGGCGGGGGAUGGGCCCGCGUUGCAUUAGCGAGUUGGUGGGGGAACGGCCCACCAAGGCGACGAUGCGUAGCUGGUCUGAGAGGAUGAUCAGCCACACUGGGACUGAGACACGGCCCAGACUCCUACGGGAGGCAGCAGCCAGGAAUCUUGGGCAAUGGGCGCAAGCCUGACCCAGCAACACCGUGUGGGCGACGAAGGUCUUAGGAUCGUAAAGCCCUGUUGAUAGGGACGAAGGGCGAAGGGUUAAUAGCCCCUAGCUUGACGGUACCUUUCGAGGAAGCCCCGGCUAACUACGUGCCAGCCGCCGCAGUAAUAC